CCGGCCGCGUGCGUCCCCUCGGCCCGCGCGCCGAGGCUGCUCCGGCGGGGCGCGCCGCGGGCCCGGGAGGCCAUUUUGAGAGCGAGCAAGCGGCGGCAAGAUGGCUGCGUGGGCACGAGGACACGCUCCGCUCCAGGGUCAGAAGAAGAGAAAAGAGAGCUUGGAGAUGACUAAGAAGAUGGGAAGGAGGAGAAAAUGAAAUGUUGCCUGAAGACAAUGGCCGAGACAGCCCAUCCCACCCUGCACAGCCUCCAGGGCCUCCUUCUCUCUAGCCUUGUCUCCUCCGUGCAUCACUCUGCAUUCACUCUGCUGAACCUGAGGACAACCCUGAGGAAGAAUUAAGAGAAAUCCCGAGAGAAAGGACUCUUCCAACCCUGGGAACCCUCUGCCUCUUUUAUCCCAGCUCACAACAAAUAAAAGUUUGAAGACUCUGUCUCUAA